rnacentral:rRNA from 1 species
GAGUUUGAUCAUGGCUCAGAAUAAACGCUGGCGGCGUGCCUAACACAUGCAAGUCGAGCGCGAAAGUCUCUUCGGAGACAAGUAAAGCGGCAGACGGGUGAGUAACACGUGAGAAUUUACCCUUUAGUGAAGAAUACCUCUGAGAAAUCAGAGUUAAUACUGCAUAAGUCCCUACGGGGAGAAAGGUGGCCUCUUUGCUGCCGCUAAAGGAUAAGCUUGCGCGCUAUUAGCUAGUUGGUGAGGUAAAGGCUCACCAAGGCAAUGAUGGCUAGCCGGCCUGAGAGGGUGUACGGACACACUGGGACUGAGACACGGCCCAGACUCCUACAGGAGGCAGCAGUAGGGAAUUGUUCGCAAUGGGCGCAAGCCUGACGACGCAACGCCGCGUGGAGGAUGAAAACCUUCGGGUCGUAAACUCCUUUCGACUGAGAUGAAUACCUUCGACCUAAUACGUCGAAGGGCUGACAGUAUCAAGGGAAGAAGCCCCGGCUAACUCCGUGCCAGCAGCCGCGGUAAC